rnacentral:rRNA from 1 species
GAUGAACGCUGGCGGCGUGCCUAAUACAUGCAAGUCGAGCGAAGCGGGGACGGGUGAGUAACACGUGGAUAACCUCCUAUAAGACUGGGAUAACUUCGGGAAACCGGAGCUAAACCGGGUAAUUAUAGGUGGAUCCGCGCUGCAUUAGCUAGUUGGUAAGGUAACGGCUUACCAAGGCAACGAUGCAUAGCCGACCUGAGAGGGGGAGCGGCCACACCGGAACUGAGACACGGGCCAGACUACGACGGGAGGCAGCAGAAGGGAAUCUUCCGCAAGGGGUGAAAGCCUGAAGGAGCAACGCCGCGUGCGAGAUGAAGGUCUUCGGAUCGUAAAAUUCUGUUAUUAGGGAGGCGGGACCUAAUCAGAAAGCCACGGCUAACGACGUGCCAGCAGCCGCGGUAAUCC